CCGAAGUGUAACGCUGUCGGUCGAGCACGAGCAACCCUCAGGCUGGCUGCAACUGCUAUGGCUAUUGACCGAACUUGGCGGACCGGCCGGUCAGCUGUGCGCCGAGCCGCAAGAGAUAUUCUCUGUGCUGAGGAAUUGUCAUAGAUGUAUGACUCGCGGCCGGUGACAACAGCAAAGGGAUUGGUUGAAGAAAGGAGUUGAGUGUAUGGAAACGUUGAAUGUUUCGGCAACGAAAUCGGCGAAGGUCGAAAAGCAGAGGAGAAAUAAUAUCGGACCAGCUAAACGCAGAGUCCCAGCCAAAUUUUAUAGUACGUGAUCGCUACUGAACGGAAGACAUUCGUGUUGUGUACUUCGAGACGUCGAAUGAUAAUCUCUCGCGACUAACGAGCCAAAGCUUGGAAGCGUUUCCCGUAAUGCUUGUGAAUAAUUAAACUAAUACGGUGUAGAUGGACGGAUCGGCGUGAUCAAAAAGCGGAUGAAAAGAGCAGCAAAUGUAGAAGAAAAGAAGAGAUUGUUGGUACGUAGACCGGCUGCGUAUGGCUAAUAGACGAGCGAAGGAGAGACGUGGAAGAAGAGGCAAGGGAACAUGAAAUGUGUGAGAGAAAGAAACAAUAGUAACAGAGGUGGAAAAAGGGGGCGAAUGUAACGAAAAGAGUGAAGGAACGAAGUUUUGCAGAGAGAAAAAGGGAGGGGGAGAAAAAGAAAAUAUAUUGCAAAAGAAAGAGAUAGGUAUAUAGAUAGGUAUGGUGCACAUACAUGCAGAAAGUGACGUAUGUGUCGUGGUCGUAUGUGCAGGUGUGCGCGUGGUGCCGGUGCAAAAAGUGCAGUGUUCAGUGGACUUUUCCAUCUCGUGCGUGCACUGUUUCUGCGAAUAGGCACGUAUAUGCCGGUGUGAACUGUUCGGAAAACGAGUAAUAUAGUAAGAGAAUUCGAAUGUUACAAUUCUUCUACGCUGGGAGCUCGAUUAACGAAAGAAAAGUCUUAUUGUAAGCGUUACUCGGAGCCGUGUCGAAAUUCGGACGUGUCAUUUCGAAGGAAUUGGAAGAUUCUUCUCUCGAUAUUGAUUUGAAAAAACCUAUUCGGAGUCGUUCGUCUCGAUAGAACGGAUCUGCCAAGGAGAAAAAAAAAGUGCAUGUAACGAGAAAAGGAACGAGGUAAUAAGAUCGUCCGACGAACUGCUUUACCGACAGAUUCGUUGACUCGCUGUUGGUAAGGUGGCUCCACAGUGAUCUAUCGACGAGGAAGAACGCGAGUCAGAUCGAGGAGACGCGGCAGUCGCGAAUUAUUAGUACUCGUGAUAAGGGCAAGAGCAGAUGUGUUCUAGUUUGUGAUCAAUGAUCUUUACGCGGAUCGUUUGAAUCGAUAUCCACUGCGAAAAGUGGAAAAUACGGAAACGGUAUCAAUCGAUAGUGAGAAAUGAGUGAGAGAGAGAGAGAGAGAGAAAGAGAGAUGUCAAUUCGCGCAACGUUAUAUGUGAUUUGGUGAACUCGUGAAAUUAGACGAACACGUUUCAACCACAAAUGAUCGUUUUUCUAUUCGUCGGUCGCCGCAACACGGUAACUAUUUCGUAACUGUCUUAGCCUUAUUCUAUUUAAUUAACGAAAAGAAUCACUUUAAGUCACUCGGAAUCGCUCUCUCGAAUAACCCACGAGGAUCCCUCUUGUCUAUACAAGCUCGUGGGACUACGUUGAAAAUCGUUCGGUGUCGUUGCUUGACGAAACCGGUUUCGUUCGGCUCGGCGAAUCUCGGCGUUUAUACAAAGGUCGUGUGUGCACACGAGAGAGAGAGAGAUUGAGAGAGAGGGAGAGAGAGGGAGAGAGAGGAGGGAGCGAGGAGUGAGAUUUAUGGAAAACAAAUUUCCACGAGGUCACACCCACGGGAGCGACUCUUUUUCUCUCUAUUUCUCUCAUUUUCUCUCUUUUUUGGUCUGUUUUUUUUUAUUUUCUUCUCUUUAAUCGUCUUCAGCGCUGUCCGUCUCCACUUGGACUAUAAAUAAGGAAUAAUAAAGGACGAAAUUGAGAAAGGCAGUUCGAAUCACGUCGAUCGAGAAUAGAUUAUCCAUUGGAAAUCCAGCGGAUCUUCUUUUCUUCCUGGACAACGAAAGAAAGCUAUAUGAUAGAAGCAGCGUUGAUGAUAUAUGAGCGAUCUUGCAACACGACUCGACCGAAGGGAUCGCAUCAUUUAUACAUGAGAAUCUGACGACGACGACAAGAACAUAUCGCUGUGGACGAAGAGAGUAAGUAGAAUAAGUACAACUUCGGUCGCAACUUCGAAUGUGCGUUCUCUGAGAGAAGGGAAAUCAACAGAGAAGCAAUCUUGCUAGAAGCAGAGGAGACGAGGCGAAUACGAAGGCGAAAGCGACAAUGAGGGGCAAUUCGCGUCUGUCGAAGGAGGCGCAGGAUUCGCCAGAAAACCGCAGCUCGAACUCGACAGCUUCCGUGGAAGCGUUUAAUAAAACCUAGUCGUGGCUAGAGAUUUGAUGUUUGUGAUCAGCCUGGACGAUGAAGCGGGCGUCGAGUGCAUCCGCUGCAGCUGCUGCGACCGCCGCUGUCUCGCAGGUGCAGCCUGCGGUCAACUUACAGGGCAGGAUACACGAUCUCUUUAGCCCGAUAACGACGGCAGGCAGCGCGAGCAGAGAAGAAAACGAAAAGCUCGCCGGAACGACCAAAGUAUUGGUCAAGGGGAAUCGGAACGAUGACGCUAAGGCUAAGUCCACGACUAUGUCGCGGCUCAUAGCUGUUGACUCUGACAAUUACAUGCUCCGGAAAGGCGCCACCUCGGUAAACGCCACUUCCGUCGCCUCGACGUCCACCGUCGUCGCAACGAUCGUGCCGUCGAAUUCGAUAUCGAACAGCGCCUCCUCCACCACAAUCAGUCCCAAUCUACAGCUGUAUCCCCGACAGCGUAAUUUCCACGCUAAUCUAUUCGUUAUAACGAAUGGUGGAACUUAUAGCGAUGUCCAGACUAUUACUUCACGAACUAUCUCUAGCGACCAAUCACCUAAAGGAAGUGUUGCGUUGUCUCUACUCAGACGACAGUCACGUCUUUUUGGCCAGGAAUACGCGCGUCUUUGGCCAAAUGGAUUGUUUCCCUGUGCUAGAACAUACUCGUUCCAUCAGUAUCUGUGCUCGUGCGAGCAUUCGCCACCGCAACAGAAUGGCGCACCAUCGGUGAAUGGCGUUGUCGCUCACGAUCUAAUGGCAGAGGAUGGUGUCUAUUCGAAUUUAGUUGGUCACGAGAGCUUCGAUGGUGAUAGCGGGCAGCGUGUCCUUGAUAAGGAUACCGGAGCCAUUCGCGAGUCGACUAUUGUACGCAAUUUAUGCUGUUGCAUGUGCGGUUCUCUAUGUCCUCCAGAGUGCCAUGCGUGCUUCCACGUGGUCUGCUCGGACUACAGCGGGCAGCACCUCUGCCAAUGGAGUAGCAAGGGUCACGCGCUACCGGGCCAGGUUCUCGACAAGGACAAGCCCGUGAGCGAGUGGACGUCUCUAAACGUUGUUGAGUGGAUGGCUGCCCUAAAUCUCUACCGCUAUGCGGAUGUUUUCAAGUCUAAAGACAUCAAGGGGAGCGAUCUUCCUUUUCUGGAUCGGGAUAAGCUGAUGAAUAUGGGCAUCAAGGAUGACUUCCACCAGAAGACCAUUUUGGCCUGCAUCGAGGAGCUCUGUCAUGCCCCGUCGACGAGCGCCACGUUGUCGGAGGCGGCCACCACGGCCACAUCGAACACGUCCUCCGGCGAAACGGUCACCGGUUGCAGCAGCUCCGUGGCCACCGGCAAUUCGCCGCACACCCUCAUGCCUCAGAGCUUCAGCGUUCUGGAGAAGUGCGAUAAGUGCCAUAAAUACCUCAGGGGCCUCUUGCACCAAGGCUUUCUCUGUUUAGAUUGCGGUCUGGUAGCUCAUAGGACGUGUACGGCGACGGGUUUACCCUCCAACUGCAUGCCAGUCGACUCGGAAAAUCGUACCCAUAGAUUUACUCCAGUAUUUGGUCUUGGCCUGUGCUCGCAAUUCGACAUCUCCUCGCGCUCGGCUCCUCUGUUGGUGGAACGAUGCACCAGUGCCUUGGAGGAGAAGGCAUUCGAGGACAGCACGCUGGAUUUGUACAAAGUCUACCACAGUAGUCCCCCGAACGAGAAAACGUUGGAAUUACGGCAAAAAUUGAACGAAGAUGUAUGUAACGCCGAUUUAAGUUCGUACAGUGCUCAGUGUGUAGCGAGUGUUUUGAAAAAGUUUCUACGAGAAUUGCCAGACCCUGUGAUCCCUGUACAGUUUUACGACAGAUUUAUAGAAGCAUCCAAUACGAAAAACGAUGAGCAGUGUGCAGUGCGCUUGGGACAGCUCGUUUCGGAACUUCCAGAUCAUCACCGUAGUACUUUGUUUCACCUGAUGGCCCAUUUUUGUCGAAUCUGUCAAUUACAACACGGAAGAGGUUACACGGAACCUCCCACCAUCCUUAUACAAGUGCUGUGUCAUAUUUUCGUUAGACCUCCUUGGGAACGGAUCGUGCAAAUUGUUCACAAUAUCGAGGCGCAUAUACGAAUAGUGGAGGUGUUGUUGUUGCACGGCGAUUGGAACGAGAGGCUGCCUCAAUUUGCCAGUCCACCGCAGCUACCACCGCGAAAAGUUUCGAGGCCGCAGUUUCCAGUUUUAGAUCCAUUCUCCGUUCUCGAUGAGGAUAAUUCUGUGGAGCGGACAAUGUCCGUCUCGGAGAGCAAGGAAUCGCAGCAGCAGCCGCACAGGCCACGCACGCUUCAAGAAGCUGAAUGGUAUUGGGGUGAUAUCACGAGGGAUGAGGUGAACGAGAAGAUGAUCGAUUCGCCGGAUGGCACUUUUCUAGUACGCGAUGCGUCUUCGAAGGGUGGGGAGUACACACUGACAUUGCGUAAAGGUGGGACCAACAAGCUUAUCAAGAUUUGUCAACGGAACGGAAAAUACGGCUUCUCGGAGCCGUAUAACUUUCAUUCGGUUAUCGAGCUGGUGGAUUACUACAGGAAUUGUUCUCUGGCGCAGUAUAAUUCAACGUUGGAUAUUAAACUGUUGUAUCCUGUAUCCCGGUUUCAACAGGACGAUGAAAUUGCAAGUACAACAGAUAUGGCGAAUGUCGCCCAGAAAUAUGUUGAACUUGAUAAAGAGAUAACCGAUGCGUUGAAAGAAUAUAAAGAACUUUCGGAAUUGUACAAUAGAACGUCUUUCGAGGUCCAGUUGAAACGACAAGCGUUAGAAGCUUUUUCAGAGGCUAUCAAAAUGUUCGAGGAACAAAUGAAAUUGCAAGAGAAAUUUCAGAAAGAAGCACAACCGCAUGAAAUAUCAACAUUAAUCGAUAAUGCCGAGUUGUUGAAACGAAGACUGAAAUCUUUAGAGGAUAGCAGGGAACAGUUGGAUUGUAGUUUGAAAGAACAGAUCGCGUAUAAUAGAACUCUGGAAAGAGAAAUGCACAAAUUGAAGCCUGAACUCUUGCAACUCGUACGUCAAAGGGAUAAACAUUUAAUAUGGCUGAAAAAGAACGGUAUGAAACAAAAUAAAAUAAGCCAACUUGUGCUAAAUCAUUCGAUGUCGAAUCCUUUGUUGGGUGACUUGGCGUAUGGUGAUCUUCAAGAAGUGGAUCUUGAAGUUCAUUCCGACGAAACGACGUGGCUUUAUCUUGAAUGUUCUCGUUCCGAUGCCGAUCGAAUUCUGGCUGAGAAAUCGGAUGGUACCUUCCUUAUUCGAACAUCAAGAACGGGACAAUACGCACUUUCCAUCAUGUGUAAUGGUACAGUGAACCAUUGCAUAAUAUACGGUACUGAACGUGGUUUUGGAUUCGCUGAACCGUACAACAUCCACAAGAGUUUGAAACAUUUGGUGCUACAUUACGCUCAGAAUUCUUUGGAGGAACACAACGAGAGUCUUAACACGACUCUAGCUUAUCCAGCUUUCGCUUCACCUGCGGCAUUGUCGCAGUUGCAGGCUCAACAGAUGCAAUUGCAAAUGAAAACGCACACCCAAAACCAAUUACAAUUGACACGUCCUCUUGAAAAUCAACAUUAUAUGACGCACACGUAAUGCUCGUGCGUCGAUCAAUAGAGUUACAAGGAUAUUAGGCUGUAUGUGUGCAUGAAAGUUUUCUCGAUUACCACCGAGGCUUAAUUUAGAAAUUGAAAGUUAAUCAGGUGAUGAUAAAUGAUUUUUCGAAUAGACCCUGCGAAAGAGUGAUCGAAAAGUGAAGCCUUUUUUCCGCCUGUUUUUAGUCCCUUGAUUUUGGUAUCAAAUAAUCGCUGAGACGUCAAUCACUGCAAAUUUUCGAAUUAAGUCGACGAUUGCUUUCUGAGACAUGAGUCAAAGUUCAUGUUCAUUAACGCAUCAGUUUGUAUGCUUCGAUGUGCAGAUUUUUAUAUUUGGAUUUAUCAAGGAGUUGGCUGAUGAACUUAGAUUCAUAGUUGUGAUAUAAAUUAUUUCUUUAUUCUUUUAAAUACGCACUUAUUUAUUGUUAUCCAUAUAGUAAUUGUUAAAUUAUUAUUUGAAUUUUAUUCUUUUAUGCCUGAUGAAGAGAACUUGAUCUCAAUGAUGAUGAAAUGAAGAUGAUAAAAAAAGUAGACUCGAUAUUGGAAGAGAAAGCGGCAUGGUGGAGCGUUGAUGUUAUAGUAUAUUGAAUUUUAAAAUAUAUUUUAAAUUUUUAAAAUCCAAGAUCGAAUUCGUAGUUUGCAAUCGGAUAGAUUCCUGGAUACAAUUUUUUUAAAUUAUCUAAUCAACAUAAAAACCUGCAAUUGAUGCGUUAAUAGAUGUGGAGUAUUUUUAUUCGAGACACUCAUUGUCUGAGACUCAAAUUUGCUAUGAUUGAAGUAUCAUCACAAGCUAUCAUUUGACACCAAAAUCAGUUUCAAAGUUAAUGGUCCAAGAACGGGAAAUUAUUUUCGGUCACUUUUUCUAUCCGUGUUAAUCGAUGUGUGGUGGUAUUAUCUACGGAGACAGAAUACGCGCCCGACAAUUGAUCGUUCCAUUUUUAUAGGCCGGAAGUAAACGCUUCCUUAAAUGAAGUACAGUGGUAUUGAUAACGAUUGAGGAAACAUUGAUAGCGAUAGUAAUUCUCAGAAGCUAUAGUUUAUAAGACAAUUAUACAAGUAUGUUACCGUGGUGCAGAAAGCGAUUGUUGAGAUCGACAGAACCACUGAACACAUAUACUACCGUAGAUUUUCCAAUUUUGUCGAGGUUUUUUGACAAACCUUUUUGGAUUGAUCUUGUCGACGAUCAACCGAGAAAUUUUCUUUGGCACGUUUUUGCAAGAUUGCGGGAACAGAAAUGAACCGUUUGCCGUCAGUUUGUAUUUUUCAAGACGGGGAGAAGAAUUGUUUCGAUGUUGGAACGGUGUUACGUCACGUUUUUCGAGAUACACUUAUUCGAUCGAACAUGUCAGAGUAACAGAGGCAUAGGUCUAGUCUUGCAGGCAAUUUGGCGACUACAAAGCAGAGUGAAUCAUAAGUCUGACUACGCUCAAACUACUCGCAGUUUCGAUUGGUAAUCAGGGUAGUUGCAUUUCAUAGAAAAAAAAAAAAAAAAUAAUAAUUUGAUAUUCAUCUAACAACUAACCAUAGAUGGACGCGUCUGUUCCUCCUCGGGGGUGGAAAAUGGAUAGACGCAACGCAUUUCGCAAACCGCUGUACUUCUGACUUCUUCGAUAAUGUUUCGUGAAUAUUUCCCAAACCCUUCGAUUUUGUGUAACGCGUGGUACGCGUGGUAUCACUACGUGAUACGAGCGGGUAUCGUUUACGUCGCGAACGAAGCGAUUCACGAGUAAGGCACGAGUUGUUCAACAAGUGAUACUAGAGUAUAUAAUUAGACGCAUUGCAACAUGUAACUGAGCCUCUCGGAUGCUUACCGAACAUUUUUUGUAGCGAUUUACAGUACUAAAGUAGCAUCUAUCACAGUUGUACAACUCAACGCUUGGGGAGGCUCGUUUCGAACGUUUUAACGAAUGCUACUUCUGUUCGGUUCUCGAUUUAAAUGUGUGCCUGCUCGUGUUACUUUUGAACUUCAUCACAACGAAAAAGGAAAAAAAAGAAAAAUUUACACGAAUGCGCGGGAGCUUUUUUAUAUAUAUAUGUUAGAUUUCAAGUGCUGUGCCAGAUCUGUGUAGGCUACUACGCGCAUCUAAAACCACGUGUAUGUGCUGAGGGAGAAUAGGAGUGUGUGUAUGUGUGGGUGUGUGUGAAAUAGAGAGAGAGAUAGAGAGAGAGAGAGAGAGAGAGAGAGAGAAAGGGAGCGAAUGUGAGGGAGAGAAAGAGAGGAAGCGAAAGAGGAGAGAAAGUGAGAGAAAAAGGGGGAAAUCAUUUUUCGUGGAGUUAAGCAUAUUGUCUGUGAUUGCUGAGAAAGGAGAUGUAUAUGUAUAUAUGUGUGUAUGUGCGUGUGCAUAUAUACAUAUAUAUGUAUAUAUACAAACAUAUAUAUAUAUAUAUAUAUAUAUAUAUAUAUAUAUAUAUAUAUAUAUAUAUUAUAUAGAUAUAUGGAUAUAUAUUAUAUCGUUUAUAUUAUUUUCAAAUUGCUUUUUACAAAUUGCUUUUCUUCUGUCAUCAUUUGUUUUUUUUUUCUCUCUUUUAUCGUUUACGAAACGUGUGAUUGUUGGUUUGAUUCCGACAAAUGUAGAUAAUAGAAUUCUAUUGCGAGACCGUAUGUGCAAAAGCUACUCGUGAUUUUUAAUAAUUGUAAUUUUCUUCUUACGUUCGAUCGAGAGCGGUUGCUUUUCUUUCUGUACGCCGCGUCAGAGUCUCGUCGCGCUCUUUUCUCUAUCGACUCGAUGCGUUCCUGACUCUGAAACGUUCGCGAGACGUCGCCUCGGUUCGAUUUUAUCCGUAUUCCUGUGUCAUACCGAGUACCGGUAAAAUCUGUGCGCACGCUACGUUCUCGCGAACGUUGAACAGAGUCGAUCUCCUUUCGCUUUGGAUGUCAAAGCUUGCCGCGUGCUCUUUGAAUGAUCUCAAAAAGGUAACGGCGGUCUCGCUGGUUGGCACGAUAACGAGAAGAAUCCUCGAAGGGAACCGAUCGCGAUCGGAUCGAUACUCGAGAAAUUUUACGCAUUACAUUGCGGUCCGUAAUCGUAAGAGUGUAUCGAGGACGAAUCCAUCGCGAACAACGGUUCGUCUGCUUUUAGCGGCCAUUCGAGUCCGAAUGACGAUUCUUCUGGUUAUCAUUUCCUCUCGCGCGACUUCCGCUACCGAUUGUAUAGUCAAAAGAAAACUGUAAGCCGGAUAUCUUGCAAACGGGUCUGUGAACGAGUGAGAAACGAUCUCGAGCUUGAAAGAGUCGAAAGCGGCGACGAGCUGUAAUUUUUUUUCUUUUUUUGUUCUUCGUUCGUUCGUUCGUUUGUGCAGUAUAAGGUGACGAAUAUCGAGGAGAGUCAGAAAACGCGAACAGAAACAUAAGCGAUAAUAGAAGAGAGAGAAAAAGAUUGUUAA